GCUGGCGGCAUGCCUAACACAUGCAAGUCGAACGGCAGCACAGGUAGCAAUACCGGGUGGCGAGUGGCGGACGGGUGAGGAAUACAUCGGGACCUGCCCAGACGUGGGGGAUAACGUAGGGAAACUUACGCUAAUACCGCCUACGUCCUACGGGAGAAAGCGGGGGAUCUUCGGACCUCGCGCGGUUNNNNGGACCGAUGUUCGAUUAGCUAGUUGGUGAGGUAAUGGCUCACCAAGGCGACGAUCGAUAGNNNNNNNGAGAGGAUGAUCAGCCACACUGGGACUGAGACACGGCCCAGACUCCUACGGGAGGCAGCAGUGGGGAAUAUUGGACAAUGGGCGCAAGCCUGAUCCAGCAAUGCCGCGUGUGUGAAGAAGGCCUUCGGGUUGUAAAGCACUUUUAUCAGGAGCGAAAUACUACGGGUUAAUACCUCGUGGGGCUGACGGUACCUGAGGAAUAAGCACCGGCUAACUUCGUGCCAGCAGCCGCGGUAAUACGAAGGGUGCAAGCGUUAAUCGGAAUUACUGGGCGUAAAGCGUGCGUAGGCGGUUUUUUAAGUCUGCUGUGAAAUCCCCGGGCUCAAC
rnacentral:rRNA from 1 species